rnacentral:rRNA from 1 species
AACGUAGGUUCCGAGCGUUAUCCGGAUUUACUGGGCGUAAAGCGCGUUCAGGCGGUUUGGCAAGUCGGGCAUGAAAUCUCUCGGCUCAACCGGGAGAGGUUGUCCGAUACUGCUGGACUUGAGGGCAGUAGAGGGUGGUGGAAUUCCGGGUGUAGUGGUGAAAUGCGUAGAUAUCAGGAGGAACACCGGUGGCGAAGGCGGGUCUCUGGGCAGUAACUGACGCUGAGGAGCGAAAGCGUGGGGAGCGAACAGG